UGGAAGCUCUGGUUGCUUGGCGUUGUUGU
rnacentral:piRNA from 1 species